GUUUCUCCGAUGUGCCGCUCAACAAAGCCGAUGUGUUCUCCCUUGUAGGUGAAGCGGGAACUGGCGAGCGUCGUUAUCUUCGAGUCGCACGCUAAAGCCGGAACUGUGUUGUUCAACCAAGGAGAAGAGGGCACCUCAUGGUACAUCAUCCAGAAGGUCUCCGUUAAUGUGGUUAUCUAUGGCAAGGGGGUGGUGUGCACACUCCACGAGGGCGACGACUUCGGAAAGUUGGCCCUGGUUACAGAUUCACCUCGCGCUGCCUCCAUUGUCUUAAGAGAGGACAACUGCCACUUCCUUCGUGUGGACAAGGAGGAUUUCAACAGGAUUCUCAGGGUACGCGGAUGGAUCAUAACCGGAUGGCUGUGACCGUGUAAAUAAACAUAGGAGAUGAAUAUCAAUACGGCACUUUUAUUAUCGCGACGGUACAACAAAAAAGAAUAAAGAGCUUUUUUUUUUUUUUAAAUCCAGUUCGGUUCAGGAUUCUUUGGAAAUGUGCUAAAAUGAGAUGUGUCCUAAUGGGGGGGUGUAGAAACACAACUAGCGGUUCUGUUUCUUGCUCAAGGUCACCGGGGUCAGGUAGCAGACUCUCGAUUGUCUGAACUGGAGCAUCACGUUCGGCGGAUCAUGUUAGCAUCUGAUUUUUGUCUCCCUCGUCGAACAUUUCAAAUAUGCGACCGAAUCGUGUUCUGGUCU